GCGUAAAGCAGCAACACCAGCUCCCGUCAUGUUUGCAACUGAUAUUACUGCAAUGGACUCCAUGGCUCAGGAGACACUGACAUCUGAGAGUCUGUGAUUCCCUGUCCUGCAGCCUGCAGAGCCCUCCGGGGCUGAGUCAGGCUCUGUCAGAUGAGCCAUCCCGAGCUCAAUGAGCUUGAGAAGCUCAGGGAGGCACCACAGGCAGAUUUUGCCAUCCAGGGAGGUCCUCCAUCCGGCCUGUUCUGGGAGGCAGGAGGGUCUGGGUGUCCUCCCAAGCUUGCUGGGAGGCAAGAAGGAGGCCACUGAGCUCAGAGAGGGCAGGCACAGCCCAGCCUCCUGGUUCCCAGUUCAACAGUCUCAACUGGCCAUAAAUGGCAUGCUCCUUGCUCUGUCACACCCUCCCUGCCCAGCAGUGAUGAGUGCCAUUCCUGCCUAGUGGAGCAUUUACAGAGCGGCAGGAUCUGAGCAGUACUGACUGUCCCUCCAAGCCCACCCGCCAGGCCCAAAUCCCCUCUGUUCCUCCUGGGAGGCACCGUCCCAUCCUGCUGACAGACCUCAGCAACAGGUGCUCACUCUCUCUCUGGGCAACCCUUUCUGCUGUGGGCAUGCUGGGCUGUUCUCCAAGCUCUUCCUCACAUGCAGUGGGGCUCCCCAAAGCCCCAGCUCUGUGUCUGGCUCUGCAGGGUCCCUCCAGGCUGAGUCCCCAGCCCCUCCCUCCAGGCUCAUCUCCCUACCGCCUGGAGGAAUGUCUGCAGACACCGCAAGGCUGGUUCUCUGAGUUCUGGCAGCACCUCCACCCUGUGAUGUUGGGCAAACCCCUUGCCCUGAUCCAGCCUGUCUCCUCUGCAGAACUCCCGGAGCAAGAGGUGACCUCCAGGGACCCUUCCCCCUCUGACCUCAGUCUGAGAACUUCUCCAGGAAGACUCCCACCCCACACCAGCCGCUGGCGGCGGGGCAGGACCUUACAACUAUGAACUUGAAGAACUUCAGUCAGCUCAAACGGCCCCUUGGAAUCACCCAGACUCAGCCUUCACUGACAGAUGGAGAAACUGAAGCCAGAGAAGGGAAACACUUGCCUAAGUUCUCCCAGCCUCGUGCGCUAAUCUAUACAGCAGGUACUCAACAGAGCACCAUCCCUGCAGUGAGGGAGCCGUCCAGAGUGACAGCCUGAGAUCAGCAGGGCCUUCCACAGAGACAGCGGGAAGAUGAGGUGGAGAUGUGAAUAAACCUGGAGGGCGCAGGGGUUGGGAGUGCCCCCUCACACAUACACAUACACACGACAUCUGUUUCCUUAGGUGCAGGUUCACUCUCCAUCUGGGUAGUAGGAUCCCAAAGUGAACAUUUGUUUAGAUGCUUUGGGCACUCCUGGGGGCAGUGAGGGACAGCCAUUGAGAAUACAGUCCUCCAUGACUUAACCCAUUUAUGCCUAAGGUUGCAAUUUUUUGAAUUUUUGCAAUCAGACCUUGGCAAUGACCUUGAUCAGUAUGAUAAAAAUAACUCCCACAUGCUUAGUGUUCCAAUAAUGGAACACUAGGCAUAAAUGUUAAGAAGUGACACAGCCAGGUGCAGUAGCCUGUAAUCACAGCAUUUUGGGAGGCUAAGAGGGGUGGAUCAUUUGAGCCCAGGAGUUCAAAACCAGCCUGGGCAACAUGGCGAAACCCUGCCUCUAUAAAAAAUACAAAAGAUUAGCUGAGCAUGGUGGCACAUGUCUAUAAUCCCAGCUAUUCAGGAGGCUGAGGCAGGAGGGUUGCUUGAGCCUGGGAAGUUGAGACUGCAGUGGACUGAGAUCACACCAUUGUGCUCCAGCCUGGGCAACACAGCAAGACCCAGUCUCAAAAAAAAAAAAAAAAAAAAAGAAGUGACAGAGACCUUCUUGGAGGCUUGACUGUAUACUGUACAUGAGGGUUUGCAAGACUGAUAACUUUAAGGACACUGUGGCUGUGUUUCCGGAUCCCCCGCUUCAGAAAAGCUUGUCAUUGUAUUUCUUCCUCAGGGUUGGGACUUCCUAGCCAAGGAAUGGGAGUUCUAGACCACACAGCUGAUGGGUAAGCUUUUUGAAACUCAUAUUAUUUAGCUUCGUGCCCAUACUUUCCAGGGUACACAGACUCAUGCACAUGCUUGUAAAUCAACAUUGCUCUGUGGGAAAACUUAUACACCAAUAACUGUGUGUGCACACGCUCAUGCAAAUAUGCACAGGUGAAUACAAGUUCCAGACAACUCACAAAUAUGUGCUUGUAGUAGCUGCAGGUGGUUCUUGGAAGUCCAGCCAUAGCAACCACAUUGUUUUCACUAAUUGGUGGCACCACCUAGUGGUGACACUGUAAAUAAAUCAGUUUUGUAUUCUGACCUGUCAAAAGUUACAGUAUCUGAUGGUUGUUUACAGAUCAUAAUUUGGACCCGUGCAUUUAAAUCCUCCCUAUUCCAAAUUCCUAUUGAAACAGACAAAGAGAUAAAAAUCCUAUUCCACUCUAGAAAUCAGUAAAAAAAAUCACAUUACUGGCCCAUAAACUUCAAGGAAUUUCAACAAGAUACAGUGCAAAUAGAACCAGGCUGAUGAGUAUAUUGACUAAAGAAGGACAUUCCUGGGAAAUAAUGGAGGAUACGCCCCAGGAGAGUCUCCCUAAAGCCCCGUAAUAGACAGCCAGGACUAGGAAAAAGGCUGAGAUGGGGAUAAGCGGGAAAAAAACUGAGCAACCUUGGGAAUUGCGAGUGCCUGCUCGCAGAGAAGGUGGCCAAGGCUCAGCUCCUCUUUUGGUUUGCACAGAAAAGCAAG
rnacentral:lncRNA from 10 species